CUAUUUGAAGUGAUUUUGCUUUAAUUUUUAAGUUAUAUAUAACACAAUCAUUCACGUAUGCAUCACUUAAUCAAUUAAAACCAAACAUAUAUUACUAAGGUAAUGAUUCACUCAACCAUUCUUAUAUGAGUUAAAACCUUAAAAUAGAGUACUAACCGUGAUUACCAUCAAAUGUUGCAGAGAAGCGCACUCAUUUGGGUUGUCUCAUUUACCAUCAAUUGUAGUCUGAGAUUUGCAAGUGAUUCGGGUUGUUUCAUCCUCUGACUAGGCAUCAGUUUCUGAAAGGAAGCAUCAAAGUCACCCAGUUUAAUGAAC
rnacentral:lncRNA from 1 species